rnacentral:rRNA from 1 species
AGUGAACGCUGGCGGUAGGCCUAACACAUGCAAGUCGAACGGCAGCACAGUAAGAGCUUGCUCUUACGGGUGGCGAGUGGCGGACGGGUGAGGAAUACAUCGGACUCUACUUUUUCGUGGGGGAUAACGAAGGGAAACUUACGAUAAUACCGCAUACGACCUACGGGUGAAAGCAGGGGAUCUUCGGACCUUGCGCGAUUGAUUGAGCCGAUGGCGGAUUAGCUAGUUGGCGGGGUAAAGGACCACCAAGGCGACGAUCCGUAGCUGGUCUGAGAGGAUGAUCAGCCACACUGGAACUGAGACACGGUCCAGACCCCUACGGGAGGCCGCAGUGGGGAAUAUUGGACAAUUGGCGCAAGCCUGAUCCAGCCAUACCGCGUGAGUGAAGAAGGCCUUCUGGUUGUUAAGCCCUUUUGUUUGGAAAGAAAAUCAGCAGGUUAAUACCCCGCUGUUCUGACGGUACCCAAAGAAUAAGCACCGGCUAACUUCGUG